rnacentral:lncRNA from 10 species
ACUAUGCGAUAAGAUGUAUGUAUAGCACAUGAAGUAUUCAGGACAGUGCCUGCCAUGAAGUAAUGCUCAGUAAAUGUUAUGGCCAUUAUCAGAACAUACUAGCAAUAUUGGGACUCUAAGAAGCUCUUAACAACUGGUUUAGUGUGGAAGACGAAUUGGAGAAGAGAGAGAACAAAGUACCCAUCUGAUAAAGUUACAGAAGGCAUCUCGGAUUCACAACAACCCUCACCAGCCCCCCACUGAAUAGCACAUCGUCUGGCAACAGGAGGCGUUUGAUUACAUUUGGAUGGAACGCCUGCAUCAACUCCAGUUGUCCCUGAAUUGGAACUGAUGGGCCUCACGUGCUGCAGCCAACAGUUUGCCUUCACCCACUCCCCUCUCCGAAGGGAACCUUUCUUUGGGAAAACAAGAAACCUACGUGCCAUCCUGGGUGAGAGACUAACAGGAGCUGUGUCCCAGCAUUGCCUUCCAGGCGAAGCAGACAAGAGUACACUCUCAGAGGUGUGAAACUGCGAGCCGUGCUUCAAGCAUCCUAGAAAGAACCUCUAAACCAGGGGACCCAAUUGCCCUCUUCAAAGUACCUCUAUGCCUCUAUGUUCAUUUCAACU